rnacentral:rRNA from 1 species
GCUUAACGCGAAGAACCUUACCCACACUUGACAUGCCUCUUUUGGCUUUCAGAGAUGAUUGCCUUCGGUUCGGCCGGGGAGUGCACAGGUGCUGCAUGGCUGUCGUCAGCUCGUGUCGUGAGAUGUUGGGUUAAGUCCCGCAACGAGCGCAACCCUUAUCGUAUGUUGCCAGCAUUUAGUUGGGCACUCGUGCGAGACUGCCGGUGAUAAGCCGGAGGAAGGCGGGGACGACGUCAAGUCAUCAUGGCCCUUACGUGUGGGGCUAGAAACGUGCUACAAUGGGAGUGACAGUGAGCAGCGAGGUCGCGAGGCCAAGCUAAUCUCCAAAAGCUCUCUCAGUUCAGAUUGUAGUCUGCAACUCGACUACAUGAAGUUGGAAUCGCUAGUAAUCGCAAAUCAGCAUGUUGCGGUGAAUACGUUCCCGGGUCUUGUACACACC